GAUUCUAUAAAGAAUUCAAAGUAUGUCCUGAGGACCGAAAGAAUCCCCUGGAGCCCCACCCUUUUGUCCCAGGCUGCUUUCUUGGAGCAGGUCUGUUACGGUCCACUAGUGGCACAUUCCUGUGGAUCUGGGAUUGCUCACUGGUGUGGGAGUGCCUGCAGGACCUUCUGGCAACAAACGCAUUCUCAAGUUCUUAUACACCUCUGAGUCAAGCCUCAGGCCACUGUCCAGGUGCCAAGAACAUCGAGUCUCCAUAGUGGGGAAAUUGCACCCAUUAACAUAACAAGAUUAGCCAGGAGGACAGGUGAGGUAACCUGUACCUUUGUGCCAACCUGGCAACCCAGUCUGAUGCUUGUGUACUAAAAUGCCCUGCCUAGCAACAGCUCCAAUGCCCUGUUAAACUGGCUAGAGCUGCUUGCUUGCUUGCUUGCUUGCUUAAAUAUUUUUCAGCCUCAAACAGGAAGUCUUCAGUGACUCAAAUCAGAAGGAACACUGAGGUAAGAUUAGAAGGAAAGGUUGUUGGUUCCUGAACCUUUCUUUAGGGGAUCAAAUAGCUGAAGUCAUAGAGUAUUAAUAAAGCCCUUUGGGAAGUCACAGGAGAGCAGAAAAAACAAACAGGUGAGCCAGGGUGGAUUUUUCCCUUGCUGGUGUGCUUCAGUGUAAUUGAAAAAAUCAGAACCAUCUCUCCAGACACUGAGAACUAAAGACUGACCCCUAUUAACCCACAGCUCUGAAAUUUGCACAGUGGCUGGCUCACCAUUUAAUUUGAGCAUCCCCCCGUCCUGGGCUGUGUCUGCCUGGCUGACCUCCUCGGAACCUUUCAGGAUGCAGAGCUCUCCUGGUGAUUGCUCCUGCUCCCGAGCUCCUGGACAAUUCCUUGGUCUGAUCCUCCUCUGCAAACCCGAGGGACAGAGGGAGCCUACCAGAUCAUUUCUUUCCACAAUAGGACAGAGGAAUCCUGAAGACUCAGCAUAUUGUCUGGGAUUUUAACUUUUGAUACUUAAGAAGAAAUGAUAAAUGGUGUCUUGCAUCAAAAGAAGGGCGAUGAGUGAGGUGAGGGACCUAGUGUUCCAGCAGCUGAGCCGAGGAUGAUGGCUACACUACAGGAAUGCAGUCCCCUAAACCCUCAGCUUCAGAAGAAUGGGGGAUGUUCCUUAGACACACCUCAAAGCACACCUACAGCACUCUUCUAUGAGCUUUAAACAAAGCUAAGUAUUUUCAACAUCCCAUUUUUCUAUCAGAAGUCCAAUAUAUUGUGAAUGCUGUCAGUAAACACUUUUAA